AUCAUGAGUGGCUUCCGCAGUACAAUGAUCCUGCUGCCCCCUGCACGCUGAAGUGUCACGCAGGGGGACAAAACGUGGUCGUGGAGCUGGCGCCCGAGGUCCUGGAUGGAACGCGUUGCAAUGCUGACUUCUUGGACAUGUGUGUCAGCGGCAUCUGUCAGGUUACUUGACAGUCUUCCCUUCUUUAUGAUUCAGUGGACCAAGGAGGAGUAGAGAUGGUGUUGCUCAUAGCCAUGGCCUGUGACAGGUACACAGCAAUUUGCAAGCCUUCCAUUAUCUAACUAUUAUGAAUCCCAAAAUGUGCAUGCUUUUGGCAGUGGCUGCUUGGAUAAUCGGAGUGACUCAUGCUAUGACUCAGUUUACUUUUGUCAUAAAUUUACC